GGACUACAGGGGUUUCUAAUCCUGUUUGCUCCCCACGCCUUCGCGCCUCAGCGUCAGAUUUGAACCAGAUAGACGCCUUCGCCACUGGUGUUCCUCCUAAUAUUUACGAAUUUCACCUCUACACUAGGAAUUCCUCUAUCCUCUUUCAAUCUCUAGAUUAGCAGUUUUAAAAGCAAUUCCAAGGUUGAGCCUUGGGAUUUCACUUUUAACUUACUAAUCCGCCUACGCGCCCUUUACGCCCAAUAAUUCCGAAUAACGCUAGCCCUCUCCGUAUUACCGCGGCUGCUGGCAC
rnacentral:rRNA from 1 species